rnacentral:rRNA from 1 species
AGUGAACGCUGGCGGAAUGCUUUACACAUGCAAGUCGAACGGCAGCACGGACUUCGGUCUGGUGGCGAGUGGCGAACGGGUGAGUAAUAUGUCGGAACGUGCCCAGUCGUGGGGGAUAACGUAGUGAAAAUUACGCUAAUACCGCAUACGAUCUACGGAUGAAAGCGGGGGAUCGCAAGACCUCGCGCGAUUGGAGCGGCCGAUAUCAGAUUAGGUAGUUGGUGAGGUAAAGGCUCACCAAGCCAACGAUCUGUAGCUGGUCUGAGAGGACGACCAGCCACACUGGGACUGAGACACGGCCCAGACUCCUACGGAGGCAGCAGUGGGGAAUUUUGGACAAUGGACGCAAGUCUGAUCCAGCCAUUCCGCGUGCAGGACGAAGGCCUUCGGGUUGUAAACUGCUUUUGUACAGAACGAAAAGGUUUCUAUUAAUACUAGGGGCUCAUGACGGUACUGUAAGAAUAAGCACCGGCUAACUACGUGCCAGCAGCCGCCGUAA